rnacentral:rRNA from 1 species
AUUGAACGCUGGCGGCAGGCCUAACACAUGCAAGUCGAGCGCGCGGCGCACGGGUGAGUGAUGUCUGGGGAACUCCCCGUUGGAGGGGGGUAACUACUGGAAACGGUAGCUCAUACACCACAUCAUCUGGUGUGCCCAGAUGGGAUUAGCUAGUGGGUGGGGUAACGGCGCACCUCGGCGACGAUCCCUAGCUGGUCUGAGAGGAUGACCAGCCACACUGGAACUGAGACACGGUCCAGACUCCUACGGGAGGCAGCAGUGGGGAAUAUUGCACAAUGGGCGCAAGCCUGAUGCAGCCAUGCCGCGUGUGUGAAGAAGGCCUUCGGGUUGUAAAGCACUUUCAGCGGGGAGGCGUUACCCGCAGAAGAAGCACCGGCUAACUCCGUGCCAGCAGCCGCGGUAAUUC